rnacentral:rRNA from 1 species
CAGCCGCCGCGGGAAUACGUAGGUGGCGAGCGUUGUCCGGAAUUACUGGGCGUAAAGCGUGCGCAGGCGGUUCGCUAAGACAGAUGUGAAAUCCCCGGGCUUAACCUGGGAACUGCAUUUGUGACUGGCGGGCUAGAGUAUGGCAGAGGGGGGUAGAAUUCCACGUGUAGCAGUGAAAUGCGUAGAGAUGUGGAGGAAUACCGAUGGCGAAGGCAGCCCCCUGGGCCAAUACUGACGCUCAUGCACGAAAGCGUGGGGAGCAAACAGGAUUAGAUACCCCCGUAGUCCCUGUCUCUUAUAC